CUCUCCAUUUCUAUUCUCCAAUCUCUGUAACAAUGGUGAUUGAGUGAAGAAUGAGAGAUUUCAAGUGAGUUUUAUCUGCAACAGAUCCUUGUGAGAUCAAAUAAUGUGUCUUUAUGGUUGAUUUAACUUUAAUGGUGUUUUAGUGAAGACUUUCGAGCUUAAACUAGUAACCGGUUGUUGAAAACCCUAGUUUCUGUACAAGAGAAUGUCACGAUGCUUGCAAACAUAGUGAGGAAAUAUGUGAGAAGUUUUAGGGUUGAAGAAUCUGAUACAAAUAAGAAAACCAGAGUUGUUCGAUGAUGAGAAUGGUGAUGUUGCAGAACUUGUAGAUGAAUGUAGAACUACAAACUGGAACCACUUACUCCAACUGUAUUGUUCAAGUAAUUGGACCAGAUCUAUACGAGUUGGAAACUUAAGAGGCAGUGUACAUGCAUCAUGAGUUAAAAGAUCAGAUAUAGCUACCACGUGUCAAAAAUGAGUCAGAGCUACCACGUGUCAAAGAUGGUCCACGUCAUCAGAUGCCACACUGAUGGUCCACGUCAUUAGUGUUUACCGCAUCUCCAACAAGCAGCUGAUAGCGAAAUCAAGAAGAAGCCAGAUGUGUCAUACAACCAGGCAGUCUCAUAUCACCAACAAGUUAGAGAAUUUCUUAAUUAUGUUGACUAACAUGUUUCUAUGUAGGUUAUGUAAGCUAAGCGUGGGAAAACCAAAAAAUACCUCUAAACAAAAAGCGGAUAUCGCCCGAUCACAGAGAUAAGACCUAUUAUGAUAUUCCAAAUAUAUAAGUUCGGUUGCUUUUUAAUAAAUUCCAACUUUCAAAAAAAAAUAAAAAUAAUAAGCUCAGCCGCUGGCGGGACAGGUUAUCAAGUCGGCAACACAAUGAACAGUCGUCUAGAAAAUACACAAAACAAAUAGGGCUGUCAAUGGGUACCCAUUACCCGGUUCCGGAACCGGAUCCGAUGGAUUCGGGUCCGGUUCCGGGUCCUUAAAUUGGAUCCAUUAACCACUUUGGACCCGGCGGGUAAUUACCCAUA